GCUUCCUACGGGAGGCAGCAGUGGGGAAUUUUGGACAAUGGGCGCAAGCCUGAUCCAGCAAUGCCGCGUGAGUGAAGAAGGCCUUCGGGUUGUAAAGCUCUUUUGUCAGGGAAGAAACGGCCGCGGCUAAUAUCCGCGGCUAAUGACGGUACCUGAAGAAUAAGCACCGGCUAACUACGUGCCAGCAGCCGCGGUAAUACGUAGGGUGCAAGCGUUAAUCGGAAUUACUGGGCGUAAAGCGUGCGCAGGCGGUUUUGUAAGUCUGACGUGAAAUCCCCGGGCUCAACCUGGGAAUUGCGUUGGAGACUGCAAGGCUGGAGUCUGGCAGAGGGGGGUAGAAUUCCACGUGUAGCAGUGAAAUGCGUAGAGAUGUGGAGGAACACCGAUGGCGAAGGCAGCCCCCUGGGCCAAGACUGACGCUCAUGCACGAAAGCGUGGGGAGCAAACAGGAUUAGAUACCCUGGUAGUCCACGCCCUAAACGAUGUCUACUAGUUGUCGGGUCUUAAUUGACUUGGUAACGCAGCUAACGCGUGAAGUAGACCGCCUGGGGAGUACGGUCGCAAGAUUAAAACUC
rnacentral:rRNA from 1 species